GAUCUACUUUCCUUCCUUGUCAGUGGUCUAGUCGUCAUCUUAACACAGUGACAAGUGCACACGGGUUCGACGCUCCGCAAAAUUACAGGUUUCCAAGAAUUCUACGUACCGACAGACGAAACAUCCCGGCUUUCUUUUUCUACAUAUACUUUGUCCUUCGUCCUGUGUAUAAGGUAA